GGCAAGAUGGCCGAGUGGUUAUGGCGUGUGACUCAAGCGCAAGCUUACCUCCGUUAGCGAGGCAGUAUUCUCAUGGGCUUCGCCCGCGGGGGUUCGAAUCCCCCUCUUGUCA